AGCAAAUUGUGAGAAGUUGUGGUUGUAGAAAUCUCUACCACCAAAAACGGUGUCGUUCUCUUCAUGAUUUAUUUCUCUGCGUUUGCCCAAAACGAUGACCAAUCCCACAUUUCAUCUAUGGAGAUUUUGUAUCCGCUGCUACUCCUCUGUUCUUCCCUCAUUUCAUCUUUGGAGAUUUUGUGUCGUUCGUUAAUCUCGGUUGACGCCGCUGUCACUCCGUUCUGUCAUUUCUUUGCUUUUGCCGUCAAUGGAGAUUUUGAGGAUCUAAAAGAAGAGUCGUCUUUGAAUUUGUGAGUUUAGCCUCCGUCACAUUUGAAAAACGUUAUUUCUCUGCGCAACGUGGCAACUUUCAGCCCUUUAGAUUGCUUCUUGGCGACGUGUCACGAUCUCGUUAAAACUGUUGGAUAGUGCUGGACGGAAGACUGCAGGAGAGGAGGCGGAUCCACCUUUUUCACUCUAGAGGAUCUUGACGCCUUAUUGACACCCAAGUCCAACAUCCUCCUUCAGCUUAUACCAUUUUAUGUCCAUUUCUGAUUUCGACUUCCUAAUCACAUCUCACUCACAAACACUACACGGUUGAUACUCUGCGUUUCUUCUCCAAACAAACAAACAAACAAAAAAACCCAAUACAAACAAAAAUCACCAAAAACAAAAACAAUUCAAAAAAUUGAAACAAUUCUGAUUUGUCGCUUUCUCUGUUUCGAUCUUGUCAAUUUUCAUGGAGGGUGAGCCAGUGAAGCAUGCGUAUUCGGUGUGGGCGAUUCCACCGGAGAACGUGAGGGAGCGGCUGAAGAAGCUGAUGUUGGCCCUCCGAUCGGAGUUCGGUGGGCCCGAAUUCGAACCCCACAUCACCGUCGUCCGCGCCAUCAGCCUGACGGAGGACGACGCGCUCGACAAGUUCCGAGCCGCCUGUCACGGCGUCAAGCCCUACACUGCCACCGUAGAGAAGGUCGCCAUUGGAACCUCGUGCGUUUUUCUUCUUCUCCAUCCUACCUCUGAGGCAGCGGAGGCUAGUUCACACUGCACCGGUCAUUUUGGUCACAAGACCUCAACCCCUUAUAUGCCGCAUCUGAGUCUCCUUUAUGAGGAUUUAUCCGAUGAGGAGAAGAAGAAAGCUCAAGAGAAAGCGAAUGUCCUUGAUGAGAGCAUCGGCAACCUGAGCUUCGAGGUAACUCGCCUUGCCUUGUACGAAACAAACCCGGAAGACAAAACUCUCAAAUCCUGGAAGAAAAUUGCUGAAUGCAACCUUGACGCUAAUUAGAGCUUUCAGAAGAGAGACUACCAUAGAGAUUGAAGGCUCAAAAUUGGUGAUAUUUGGACACCCAUUGGUGGAGGUUUGUGUGAUUGAAUUAGUGGAGCUGGGUGUCUGGAGGUAGUGUGGUGGAAUAUUAUACUAAGCGUUUGAGAUUCUGAGAAGUAGAGCUGCGUGGGAUUUUUACUUGUGGGAGUGCCGAGAGUAGGACUAUGAUUUAAGUACUUGGAUUAUUGUUUUGUUAGUGGAUUUUAUUAGUGGACUUGGUGGACAAUUUCAUAUGAUAAGAAUUAUCAAUUUUUUU